CCUACGGGUGGCAGCAGUAGGGAAUAUUGCUCAAUGGGGUAAACCCUGAAGCAGCAACGCCGCGUGGAGGAAGAAGGUUUUCGGAUUGUAAACUCCUUUUGUUAGAGAAGAUAAUGACGGUAUCUAAAGAAUAAGCAAAGGCUAACUCCGUGCCAGCAGCCGCGGUAAUACGGAGGGUGCAAGCGUUACUCGGAAUCACUGGGCGUAAAGAGCGUGUAGGCGGGAGAGCAAGUCAGAUGUGAAAUCCUAUGGCUUAACCCUAGAACUGCAUUUGAUACUGUUAUUCUAGAGUAUGGGAGAGGUAGGUGGAAUGCUUGGUGUAGCGGUAAAAUCCGUAGAGAUCAAGCGGAAUACUCAUUGCGAAGGCGACCUACUAGAACAUUACUGACGCUGAUGCGCGAAAGCGUGGGGAGCAAACAGGAUUAGAUACCCGAGUAGUC
rnacentral:rRNA from 1 species